rnacentral:misc_RNA from 1 species
UUUCCGUAGGUGAACCUGCGGAAGGAUCAUUAUUGUAAAAGCGAGGUGCGAGGGCUGUCGCUUACCUGCAUGGUUGAGCACGCCCGAGUGUCCUCACACACUUCCACAUCAGCCCCAUGUGCACAACCGCGUGGGUCCCCCUUUGGCUUGUUCGGAGGGGGGCUUACGUUUUCUCAUAAACUUUGUAUGCAGUGUAGAAUGUAUUUUUUGUUUUUGCGAUCACGCAAUCAAUACAACUUUCAACAACGGAUCUCUUGGCUCUC